AUCGCUUCUCGGCCUUUUGGCUAAGAUCAAGUGUAGUAUCUGUUCUUAUCAGUUUAAUAUCUGAUCGUCCCCUACCGGGGACUGCAUAUUAAAUUGAUUUUUGGAUCACGGAGCUGGAGCCGGGGCUUGCUCCGUCCACUCCACGCAUCGGCCUGGUAUUGCAGUGUCUCCAGGAACGGUGUGCUUCCC